rnacentral:rRNA from 1 species
UCGGCCGGUGAACGAAACCGGAGGGAAGGUGGGGACGACGUCAAAUCAUCACGGCCCUUAUGUCCAGGGCUACACACGUGCUACAAUGGCCGGUACAAAGAGUUGCGAGACCGCGAGGUGGAGCUAAUCUCAGAAAACCGGUCUCAGUUCGGAUUGGAGUCUGCAACUCGACUCCAUGAAGUUGGAAUCGCUAGUAAUCGUGGAUCAGCACGCUACGGUGAAUACGUUCCCGGGCCUU